rnacentral:tRNA from 1 species
GCGGGCGUGGAGCAGCACGGUUAGCUCGUCACCCUGUCAAGGUGAAGGUCGCGGGAUCGAAGCCCGUCGCCCGCG